GAUUCCCAAGAAUCCAGGGGAGUUGGAAUAUCUCCACCGUAUUAUCCACAUCACUUUGCUCGCCUCACAAUCAUCACUGUUCUGACCGGAAACCGUUAGCUACCCCCACUGCAGUCAAGGUUGCAGAGCUUUGUGUGCAGGUCAUGUCGCGCCCACAGAGAGGCCGGCGACGAGUCCAGCGACCCCUCACCUGUGCACGGUUGGAGGCGAGCCCACGGGGUGUUGUUUGACGCCUCGACGACGCCUGGUUCUGCUACACAUGCAUGCAACGCAUGCAACUGGACACCGAGGUGGACCAGUCUAACUUCAUCUGGAGGGACUUGGCUGACAUACCCCUCCCCGCCGACGGCUGACACCUGGUUCACGUUGCUGAAGGACACUGAUCCUUGCAAACACAGAUCUAGUCCUCCCUGAUGGACUGUGGGUUCAUUCGUGCCAUCAGAAUGAUUAUAUUCUCGACAAAGGACUGCUUUUGCAGGUGCACACAUAUGAGAUACGUCGUUCCCUUUGUGUGGCCUCAACGUAUGGACGUAGAUAUAAACAUGCGUAUAUUAUUUCCCGCCGUAUACGGCAGGCCGCCAUACGACAGUACUGUACUCUAUUCUUCUGUGGAUAUAAACUUUGGACAUCUCACACUCAAGAUGUGCAGCAAGGACUACAGGAUAUGAAGGAACCGCCCACGUUCAUAUGCUCAUGGACAGGAGGUGAUUCAGAUGCGGUUGUUCCUGUAACUCGAGACUUUCACGCUUAUCGCAACAGAAACAUUUGGGGUUCCCUACGCGCAGGCUGACACAUUUGGGCCCCCUUGCCAUGGUGGAUUCAAACCAUGCAUUGUAAUCAUUAUUGGUGGUGGUCAUAAGGACGACUCCCAUGCCAUGCGAGUACUGUUUGAUUUUCAUGUGUUUAUGCUGUAUGUUUCGGUGACCCUGGUGACACUGAUUUCACUGUCGCGCUAUAUUUGCGGGCAGAGUGAGAAUUUUCCCUCAAUUUGGCAUCAUGAGGGUUUUUCGCUCACUCCUGGCUCACCUUUUUGAGAAGGGCACGUGUGUUGUGGUCUACUGUGCUUAUUGUUGUUGUUGGGGGGGGGAGAGAUGUUGUAUGUUUUUAUGUUCUGGGUAUGUUUUUGGUGCGUUGUUGGUUUUUGUGGAUUUUGUGUUUUUGUUUUAUGUUCUAUGUGUUUUAUGUCUGUUUUAGUUUCUGUUUCUCGUUUGUGUUAGGGUGGUCGUCGUGGUUAGGUUCUUGGGUUUUGUUGAGACUUUUGCAGUCUCAGAGGGGGAGAGAUGUUGUGAAAAAUCCUUGAACCUUAAGAGAAUACAUUAUACUAUUAUUAUUAUAUUAUAUUAUUAUUGUAUUUUAUAUUAUUAACCAGAAGUCAGAGGGUGAAUAAAAGAGGGACUCUUUAUUAUAGUAACUCAGCAGACAGGAGAAGAAAGAGUGUAAACAGGGGACUCAGGGCCAUAGAACAGAGCUGUUCCAGACACGUAAUGAGCUCAUAGGUGAUAUGAAGUAGCUGGAAGCGGCGAUAGGUCUCCAUGACUUCAGCGGGUACUGGCCUGGGGUAGGGAGAAGGACGAGGAUGGUGAGGCGAAGACCUGAUAGGGCGACUAGGAUGAGCUGACUGACCUGGAGGCGAAGGGUCUGAGGAGAGAUAAGGGGAACUUGAGAUAAGGGUGAACAAUUCCAGCCUGAGCAAGGACAGGCUGGGAUCAUAACAUGAAACAUGCGAUCAAAACAAAGUUGAAGCUUUUAGCAGUUUAAAGGAGUCAUUAAAGAACUCCAUUUUUUACUUUUAUGUACACAAGCAACAUUAUAGUAGCAAUAGCUUAACAAUAAUGACAACAGUAUAGUAGCAAUAGUUUAGCAAGAGUUUUAGCCACAGUGACAAUAUAAGAUGACAAAUAGAUAAAAGCUUUCUUUUAACAUAAUAACUUUUGACAUAAAAUCAGACUCAUAGAGUGAUUUAUAAUUAUUAAAAUCAUGUAUAGAAGAAAAUAGCAAAGGAGAAACUCACCCAUUGUAGCUGAAUGAAGGAUUAAUCUUCAGGACGUCUGGCAUGGAAAAACUUAGAGGCAAAUGUACAGUAACUUCGACCAGGGAGUGAGGCUCUUUUUUUUAAAGCACACUUUUAAUAACAAAAUUGUUGUUUAGAUAUAAUUGUUAUGUCGGAUGAAGAAGACCCAGGGCCACAGGCCGGGGCUUCCGGAUCUGGGCCCCGGGGAACUAAGGAGAGGAAAAUCCAUAAAUGGGCAUAUGGGCAAAAGGUAAAGGAAAAACAAGGGGAUUGUAAGGAACAGGACGUUACAAAAACAUAUGAGAUAUAAGGAUAAGGUGAUAUGAAAAUGGGUCUGUAAGGAGGGGGACCGAUAAGGAGGCUCUUGGAAGCGUAUAUAUAGAGGAGAAUUUUGAAGUCAAAAAAUGUAUGCGUAAAAAAUCCCGUUACUCUGCAGGACCGUCCUGAGGGUUUUUUUGUUUUUGCAUGCCAAUGCUCUUCAUGAAGAUGCUUUUUCUUUUCUUGGGUUUUUGGGAUUUCUUUUGUUACUUUUCAAAUUAGCAAUUUCUCUUAGAGAAUUGUUGGCUGAUUGACCACAAUAAAGAAGUUUGCUCAUUCUCA